GCAUCGCUCCGGUGUACUUCCUGUAUGUUUGGAACUUCCGCCUUCUCUUCACAAUGCGAUCCACAUUGCUGAGGACAAAGCGAUCCACAUUGCUGAAGGAGCUGAUCUGCAGACAAGAAAGUACUGGAAGCAUGUUUUCAUAUUGUCCUUUGCAGGAGCAAAUAAAUGCUGGGAAACAAUUUAUCCUCCGGGGACCAUCAGAGUGCAUUCAACCAGGGGAAUCUCCUCCUCCAUGGCUCUGCACGGAUGAAUGACAGUGGGAGACAUUUGUGCUGCAGCCUCAUGGUCUCCUCCGUAACAUCAAAUUCGACUCGAAACGGCUUAAUUUACAGUGUUUAAAGCCUGCUACAGGAAGUAACAAUGCCAGCGGAUGUAGCGAUUCUAAUGCACACCCCGUGCGUGCCCUUGGGUGAGAGCUAGAGUGAAGUGUGUGCCUCUGAUGAUGUUUUUAGAGGUAAUUUAGGCUUAAAACACAUCGUAAAUGAUGCCGUUUCGAGUAGAAUAUGAAUGUCGGGGCUUGCGGACACUUGGAUGACCCCACACGAGCAGUAUGGAGGCAUGUUAUGUUUUAUUCUUGUUUUAUUACGUCUGAAGCAUAAGUCACUAUUUACUUCAAUUGUAUUAAUUCGGCUGUAACACUGUCUACCCCUGAAACUCCAGGGGUAAACAGUUUUUCACCCACUCCUCCAUCGGCAUUGUGGUGAGUAGUAUUUUUCGGUGAACUAUCCCUUUAAGCUACAUGGAAACCAGCUGCUGUGUUUCUAUCUUAUAAUCAUUAGAUAGGACUCAUUUCUUCUGUUGCUGAAUGAAUUUACAGUCAAGCUGUCAAUUUACACCCGUCAUUAAAAAAGUCCUGUAUCCAGAUUGUAUCUAGGUAGGACUUAAAUCUGAUUACAUUUACACGUAUAAUUGUAUUUAUAUAGCACUUAUCUAAAUAAGGUUACAAAGUGCUUCACAAAAUAAUGGUUAAAAUAAAUAAAAAUAACGCUGCGGCUAAAGAUAAAUCUGUCUACUGGCUUGUAUGGCAGUACUAUGAAAGCCAUGUGGCCUACUCAGUAGAUCAAACAUUACCCCUGUGCCUUUUUAAACUAAACACAUACGGUCAUAGGCAACAGAGGUAAGAGGUAUCCCAUUUAAGAAAUAUCUCCCUGAGGGAGAAACUCCACAGAUUUUACAUAUUGGUUUUCAAAAAUUGUUCUUUUUCAUUGCAGGAUGAAGAAGAAGAUACCUUAUCAGCUGCCACAGUGAGGGAAGAUGCAGAGAGGCCUAUUAAGGUUUACAAUUUAAUGGAGAUAAUGGCAUGUCUGGAGGCUUUGACUACAAAUAAAGUGAAACUCUGGAUUACUGGAAGAAAAAAAUUCUCUAUUAACUGUUACAAUAAAUAAAAAUAAAAUU